AAUGGGGGCAACCCUGAUCCAGCCAUGCCGCGUGAGUGACGAAGGCCUUAGGGUUGUAAAGCUCUUUUGGCGGGGACGAUAAUGACGGUACCCGCAGAAUAAGUCCCGGCUAACUUCGUGCCAGCAGCCGCGGUAAUACGAAGGGGACUAGCGUUGUUCGGAAUUACUGGGCGUAAAGCGCACGUAGGCGGAUUUGUUAGUCAGGGGUGAAAUCCCGGGGCUCAACCUCGGAACUGCCUUUGAUACUGCAAGUCUUGAGUCCGAGAGAGGUGAGUGGAAUUCCUAGUGUAGAGGUGAAAUUCGUAGAUAUUAGGAAGAACACCAGUGGCGAAGGCGGCUCACUGGCUCGGUACUGACGCUGAGGUGCGAAAGCGUGGGGAGCAAA
rnacentral:rRNA from 1 species